rnacentral:lncRNA from 1 species
CUGGGUGUCUAAGGUGCUGAUGGUGUCAUGCCUUGCUUUCCCCAGAGGCUGGACUUCCGAAAGAACACACUCGCCCAGAUGCAGAAGUUGAAGGAGCAAUGUGAGAAGCUACAGAAAGUCACUGAGAGGCUCCUGAGCAACACAGGAGACAUCCAGAAAGCAGACAAGAGCGAGCUGGAGACCAAGGUGGACCAUGACAAACUGCAAAGUGCCACCACUCAGCUGAAUGAGAUGAUGCAGGACCUGCUGCAUAAGAUGUCCCUGCAGGACAAGGAGUGGCAGAAGGUUCUGGAGAAUCUGUUCAUCAACAUGG